AGAUCGCGAUUCAAAUGAUGGCUGCGAAAGAUGUAAAAACUUGGAAAAGUUGUUCUCCGAAAAAAUCUCUAAAUUAGCAGAAUUAAUCGAAAGGCAAAACAAGUUCGUUGUUGGUGUUCUGGCGGAGCACACUGUACUUUUGGAGCAGGUGACAAACAAAGAAAAGGGCGCUGCUUCACGAUUUACUCUUAAAACAGAUGAGGACAUUGCAAAAUUAGAGUGUGAAAUAAACGACAUCAACCGGGACUCUUACAUUGCAGCAGUACAAUAUUUGCUCCAGGAGAAGCUUUUGUCUCCAAUAUAAUAUAUAUGGAAUCGCAGGAAAAAAGUGCCUUAAGGACUUUCCCGAGGUGUUAACCGUUUUAAAAAAAGCCAUUGGGAAAACCUCGGUCGAUGCAGAAGCCGAAAUACGGAAGUCUUUCCAAGUCGUCAAAAAACGGCACUUCCGUAUGGUUUCUUUUGCAAAAUCUUAAAUGGAUGCUCUUCGAAAUCUAUUAUUUUUGAAUAGUAUUUAACUUAUUUCAAUUAAUGCAUCUUUCUCGUUAUUUACUUACUUUA